rnacentral:lncRNA from 1 species
GAGGAGAGGAGGAGGGGGUCGCGGGCGGUGGAGAGGAGGGUGAGGAGGGAGGCGACGGUGAAGAAGGAUGGUGAGGAGGGAGGCGACGGUGAAGAAGAAGGCGACGGUCCGCCUUUUUUUUUUGGCGAGAAAAAAAAAAAAGAACGACAGAAAACGAAGAGAAGAGAGAAAGCGGAAAGAGAAAAAGUAAUAAGGAUAUUUUGGUCAGUUUGCUGAAAAAGCGGACCAAAUCUGCAAAAACGAAAAAUGUGACCCGGUUUUGCAAAAACCCAAAAUAAAUGAAUUUUUUAUGCAAAAAGGCCAUAAAAUAUAAUAUUACAAUAAUAUAUUUGUUAAAAAUAAAAUUAGUAUAAUAUGGUUAGGAAUGCAAACAACACGGAUUUGGGGGUGGGAGAGAUUCUCCGCUUUCCAUUUCAUUUUUUAUCUGGUCGAGAUGAAUUCGGAGCAUGUUACAUUUAAUUAUAUUUUUGAUCCUCAUUUAC